UACGGAGGGUGCGAGCGUUGUCCGGAAUCAUUGGGCGUAAAGGGCGCGUAGGUGGCCCGGUCAGCGUGCGGUGAAAGCUCGGGGGCUCAACCCCCGAGUCGGCCGUGCGAACUGCUGGGCUUGAGCACUGUAGAGGCAGGCGGAAUUCCGGGGUGUAGCGGUGGAAUGCGCAGAUAUCAGGAAGAACACCAAUGCGAAGGCAGCUCUCUGGGGACGGGUACUGAGCUAGACGC
rnacentral:rRNA from 1 species